UCUUGUAGUUGCUAGAGUUUCUGCAAACAUACUUGGCUUGUAAAGUACUAAAAUUGCUGCCCAAGUCGGAUGACCUUAGAUGAGACAGCUGCUUAGAAUAAGGCUCACAUUUUAAACCAGAUUUUUCUCCCCUGAUGAAUUGGGAUAGAGAGGAGGUCCAUUUGCAGUUUAGCACUUGGUCCCAGAAUAAGCCAGAGAUGCCCACUUCUUAGUCUGUGCUGGUGUCAGGGACACUUGCAGUGUUUGCAGAGUGGGAAGCUCUGAUGCUUGGGCAGCAAUUUCCCCACAGGUAAAUUGAGGAUACCUUCUGUUACCUGUCUCACAGGUUUGAUAGGAGAUUAGAGCGAUGAGGUAAUGUCUGCGAAUGGUUUCCUGUGUCAGGGAGAAAGCCUGCACAGCUGAGUGGUGUCACCUUAGGUAAUAGUAGGCCUUGGGAUGUUUCCGUAGUGGGGCUUCUGACAGCAUCUCCCUGCAGGAUAAGUGAGAGAACUAUUUGGUUCAUCCCCAAUGUUUUUCUGUUUUUUGUUUGUUUUGUUUUGUUUUGUUUGAGACAAAGUCUCACUCUGUCACCCGGGCUGGAAUGCAGUGGUGCAAUCUCCACUCACUGCAACCUCCACCUCCAUGGUUUGGUUGAUUGUCAUGCUCCAGCCUCCCGAGUAGCUGGGACUACAGGCAUGCACCACCACGCCAGGCUAAUUUUUGUAUUUUUAGUAGUGAUGGUGUUUCACCAUGUUGGCCAGGAUGGUCUCAAACUCCUGCCUGCCUUGGCCUCCCAAGUGAUCUGCGUGCCUUGGCCUCCCAAGUGAUCUGCCUGCCUUGGCCUCCCAAAGUGCUGGGAUUACAGGCAUGAGCCUCCGUGCCCGGCCGCCAGUGUUUUUCUGCUUUCGUAUUUGCUGUGUUUCGUUUCUUAAGCAGGAGAGUGUAGACAGUUUACAGGGCCAUUUCCAAGAGUGAAUAGGCCUGUUUUUCUUCAGCAACUCUAAAGUAUUAUCAGUAGUAAAACUGUAAACCUAUAUCUGCCCAAUAAAAACUAGUAUUGAUAUUUAUUCCCCAAGAAGUUCCCCAACAUGGACCCGUACUAAGGAAAUUUACAGACAUUUAAGCUUUCUUGACCUUGACCUCAUCCCAGUCUAGAAUAGACUCUGUGGGACUCCAUCUGUAAGAUAGGGAGAGAGGAGAGGAGAGGAAAAGCCUGAGGUCGAUGGGGCCACAGUAGUGUGUGUUGCAGCCCAGUCACCUGGUCCACAAAAAUGAAUGGUUAAACUUGCAGAAGUUUUGUGAGCCAAUUUUAAAUACCUUCAUUAUCAACAAGUCAGAUAAACUAUUAUAUUUAAAAACAAAGAUAGUAAGUCCUCAAAACUCUUCACUUUGUAAUUAUUGUAUUCAUGUUAGUCUUGUCCACCAUCGAGGUUGUUGGCAGCGACUGUGUUGCAUGGUGAGGAUGCUGUGUAAUGGUGUGCUACCAUAACUGACCCCAGGUGUGUCUGCUCACUGCUUGAAAGCCAGAUUCGAGAGACAAGUGUUGGUGGGAGGAAAAGCAGGAUUAAUUGGAAAGCCAGGAAACCGAGAAGAUGGGGAACUAGCCUUCUAAAGUACCAUCUUCAGACAGUACAAAUUUUAGGCUCUUUUUAUGUUAAGGGCAGAAGGAAGGGGAGGGGAUUGAGAUCAAGAGGUAACAGAUAACCACCGACAUCUGGGUGCCAGCAAGUGUUCAAGGAACUUCUUUGUCCUUGGUCAGGUCACAACGCUCCUAUAAAUCUUUAACAAAAACAUAGUUGUUUACAUACUUCUCCUUUAAUCCCAGAGUUAGUUUUUAAAACUACAUGAUUGCUGUUUUUGCAUAUUAAUAGUACUCUAAAAUUAUCCUUGCCUAUGUGCAGAAAUGGGUAAGGGCCACUUAAACCAAAAUGGAGUUAGUUAUGUUAGCUCUUGUGCUGUUUCACUGUUACACUGCUGCUGUGCUGACACUAAGCAGAGUUUCAGCUUCACUAAUAUAAUUUGGGUGAGAGUGAGAAAUGGUUUAACAGUUAAAUCACAUCAGUUGAUUGAGAAAGUAAAUCUGAGAAAAAAAAUGCAUUGGGAUGCGAGUCCAUUUGUCAAGUCCUGGUUGGAUUGCCACCAUAUGUUGGCUACGGAUAAAAGUUGACCAUAAAAAUCAGUGAAAGAAUUCUGUGAGAAUCAAUUGACCUAAUAUAAUUUACAAUAGAGAGUAUUGUAUGUUUUAUUAUUUGUAAAUUGUUACUCAUCUUUUAUAUCAGUAAAUUCUUAAUUUAUGUACGUAAAUACAGGCACACGUUAUUUCCCCACAGAGCAGGUUGUUAAACAUUGGCCAACACAUCACCAACUGGGUGUAUGAAGGCAUUAAAGGACUAAUGAUUUUGGUGACAAUAACAGGCAGAAUGGGAGUAAGGGAAAGAUAGAAUAGGAGGUUGAGGGAGGGUCUGGGGUGAGGUCAUGGCAGCAGGUGUCUGAGAAGCUGUGAAGGCCAGGGCCCUAGAGUAGAAGAGGUUAGGGGAUGAUAGGGCCUCAAGAUUGAAUGUAGCAUGCAAAUUAGAUUUCAGAGCUAACCAAGGGACUUGGGGUGGAGAGGAGUCACAUUUAAGUGCCAGUGCCUUUAAUUUGGGGGAGAAAUGCAGAGCCAGUAGCUGCUAGAUGUCAGUGACUGGGAAGGGCACACAGCAGGUUAGGCUGAUGCUGUAAGCAUGGAUACAGCUUUUAACAUGAGGGUGCAAGAGGAAGAUUCUGGAACUGGAAAAGGAAUGCAGAGGAUGCCAGUUCUGCUUUUUAGACUCAUUUUUGAUGGGAGGAAUUAUACCUGCAUACUGGGGUUACUGUGGAAAUUAAAUAACCUGAGUUAACCCCCUAUGGUAGUGCUUGGCAUAUAGAAAGGGCUCACAAAAUGAGAGCAAUCAAAUGUUCUGAUUUGCUUAGGAAAAGAUGUUGUCCCAGCACAGUUAUGGUUAAGUUCCUCUUGUUACUCAAAGUGUUCAGGUUUGGGUGAUUAAUUAUAUGUUCACCCUAUUAACAAAUGACUGCUUUUUAAUUACUUCCUGGAACCCUCACCUCACAGUGGACAUACCAAGAGCACCCAGUGGGUGAGAGGACUCAGAGGCCCCCUGGAAGAAUCUUUCACAGGCUGGAGGGUUAUUCUUCUAAAGGAAUGUUAGCCUGGUGUCUCAGCAUAAACUUGAAUCUAUGACACAUACUACCAUCUGAAUGUUUGUGUACCUCUACCGCCCCAUUUAAAUGUUGCAAAUGUUGAAAUCCUGACCCUUGUGGUGAUGGGGUUAGGAGGUGGGGCCUUUGGGAGGUAAUUCGGUCAUGAGAGUGGAGCCCUCAUGAAUGGGAUUAGUGCCCUCACAAAAGAAACCCAAAAGAGGUACCUAGCUCUAGGUACCUCUUCCUAGAAAGUGCCAUCUGUGAACCAGGAAAGGGAGAGGCCUUGGUCUUGGAUUUCCCAGCCUCUAAAACAGGGAAAUAAAUUUCUGUGGUUUCUAAGCCACCUGGAUUAUGGUAUUUUAUUAUAGCAGCCUGAAGGUACUCAGACAGCAUGCAAGGUCCUUCCCAACCAACCUUUGCCUUUGCAUCUCCACCAUAUGCACCAGUCACACUCCAUUCCCUUUUAUGCUUCCAGCCUUUUUGCAUGCUGGAAGGUCUGUUUAUCCAGAAUGUCUGUUUAUCUGGAAUGUCUUUCUCCUCCCUUCCUUAUCAAAGUCCAGCUCAAAGCCUUCCCCUAUCAUUAAAGUCCACCCCAACCCCUAGUGUCAGAGUAGUUACACAGGUGAACUGGAAGCAUUUAAGACUCCUUUCCCAAAUAUAGCCUUGUGGCUGUGUUUAGCCCUGGCUAAAUACUAACAAUUCUCCUGAGGCAGCCCUGUAGCCAUCCUAACAAGAAGUUUGGAGCCAGGCCUGCCUGACUUUGGGUCAUCAACAGCCUUCCACUGAGCCUGAAGCAACUGGCCAGUGCAGUUGACCACUGGACACAGCCAAAGACAUUCUUCUUUGGUGAGCCAGCCCACAUCUGCCAACAUUCCACCAAAUUAAAAGCAGACCAAGAACCCCCAAGUAUUUUGACAAGUCUGGAGCUGCUAUUACUUCAACCGAGGCAAGUACAAUGGCAAGAGAGAAAGGUAUGGGCAAUGAUGAAAUGUCUAAAAGGGAUCAUUGGCCUGCCCUCCAGCCAGCCAUCUCCAGGGCUGCAGAAUCCUUUCUUUACAUAUAGAUUUUUCUCUGGGCUCCAGGGACAGAGUCAGCCCUUUCACUUAGCUCCUACUUCCAAAAUUGCCAUUAACAAGACUGAAAUGCCAGUUUAUCUACUUUCCCCCAGAAAGUGUUGCAUGUCUAUAGACACAGCUAGGAUGUGCUCAUCUUGGGACAGUUAUAGUCUCUGAGUUUGUUCGUUUAUUUUUUAACAAGACAACUGGCCACCCUUAAUUAAAUAGAUAUGUGAUUUGUUUUCAAGCCACCUCAUCUGAGAAGGACACCGCAGUGUUAUUUGUAGUUUUUGCCUCGGUUGUGUGAUGGGGGUGUGUCUCCAUCUCUCCCCAGCCUAAUGGGAUUGGAUAAAGUAUGUGGAUUUCAUGUUCUGACUUUUAAAAAAAAUUUAAUUUGAAACACUUGAAAUAUUCAAAUAUUUUUGAAAUAUUUUAGAAUUAAAUAUUAUUUUGAAAGGAAAAUAAUUAAUUCUCCUUUGCAAGACAGAAAAGUUUUUCCUGUUUUAUUUCCCUACACCUACCAAAACAAUGUCUUGGUGAAAAGGAGGACCUCCUGAGGUCAAGCAAUUCUGUUUAGAAAUAAUUGGAAGUCGUGAUAAAACAUACCCUGAAUUGGUUGGGCACAGUGGCUCACG
rnacentral:lncRNA from 1 species